CACCUUUGGCCCCUGCAAACGCUGUCCCCUGUGUUUGUGACCCCUCAGCAUCCCCACGAUGCUGUCUGUGCAUGCGGAGCAGAUGCACAAGACUGGGUUCCCCACUGUCCAUGCUGUGAUCCUGCUCGAGGGCACCAUGAACCUGACAGGCGAGACGCAGUCCCUGGUGGAGCAGCUGACGAUGGUGAAGCGCAUGCAGCAUAUCCCCACCCCACUUUUUGUCCUGGAGAUCUGGAAAGCUUGCUUUGUGGGGCUCAUUGAGUCCCCCGAGGGUACAGAGGAGCUCAAGUGGACGGCUUUCACUUUCCUCAAGAUUCCACAGGUUUUGGUGAAGUUGAAGAAAUACUUUCACGGGGACAAGGUGAGUUGAGGAAUUGAGAUGGAGUCAUGGGAGCAAAAACAAGGGCAAGGGAAGGGUCCUUCAGGCCCCAACCGGACAGUGUUCUCAUGCCUGGAAGAGAGCUGGAUGCGUGUGUGCAUGUGUGCACCUCAGUGUGUGUGUGCUUUGCUGUGUAUGUGCUUCAGUGUGUGUGCUUUAGUGUGUGUAUGUGCUUCAGUGUGUGUUUCAGUGUGUGCACCUGCCUCACCAUGAGUGUGCUUCAGUGUGUGUAUGUUUUAGUGUGUGUGCUUCAGUUUGCGUGUGUGCUUCAGUGUGUUUCAGUGUGUGCAUGCGCUUCCGUGUGUGCUUCAGUGUGUGCGCGCUUCAGUGUGUGCGCUUUAGAGUGUGUGCUUCAGUGUGUGUGUUUCAGUGUGUGUGCUUCAGUGUGUGUUCGCUUCAGUGUAUGUGCUUCAGUGUGUGUGUGUGCUUCAGUGU
rnacentral:lncRNA from 13 species